CAUUAUCAUUAUCAUUAUCAUUAGCGAUUAUUGAUAUUUUAUCAAAUAAAUUAAAUAAUAGUAAAUAAAUUAAAAAUAAAAUUUAUUUACAACACAAUUGUUAUUUUACUACAGCAAAACUAUGAUAUAUAGGCACAUAACUCAACGAAUUUCUUACUUGUCCUGGAGUAUGUGUAUCAUAUCUUGCAAUCCCAUGCCUAGUAGACGUCCCUCGAACCUCUUAGUUGAUAGGCUUUUUGUAAACAUAUCUAUGAGGUUAUUCUCAAUAGUAAUCUUAUAGACAACCACAUCUCUACAACCAACAAUAUCUCUCAUGAGAUGAUAUUUAUGUUCCGUGUUUAUCCCUCUAAUGACAUCUUAAUUCUUUAGCAUUUUCCACUUUCCAAUUGUUAACACAUUACAUUGUUAAGGGUUAUGCAGAUACAUUCACCACCUCAAUAUUUAUUAGGAAUUUCUUGAGCCACACCGCCUCUUUAAUAGCUUCACAAGCUGCCACUUACUCGAUCUUCUUGGUAGAAUCAACAAUGUAUGAUUGCUUGAUACUUCUUCAUUUUAUGGCUUCGAGGAGUCUUGAUCUCGUUGCAUUUGAUCUGACCAUUGAAGGAACCUUUCGACAAAGACUAAGAGAACAACGAGAAGCAGGAAGAUAACCACAAGUGGAGAUGAUACAAGAAGGGGGAAUUGUUGAUCCUAAUGCCCCACUCAGAAACAGCCUAUGGGGCGAAUUUCAUUGAGUUUUGAUUCCCAAGCUUGAAGAGUUUAAGAUCCCAUAUUAAAUGAAGAGUAUAUGCUUUUUGGGGAUUUUAUGAAUCCCUACACAGUGAAGAAUCAAAUAAAGCAUUGUUAUCCAUCGUAUAGUCAUCCAAACUUUCAACUUCAGUUGGAUGUAAUUAAUUUGUUUUCCAACACCAGAUCAUUCUAUAGGAGAGCCAAAGUAAAUCCACACUCUCAAUUUGUACGCUUCAUGGGAAUUUGUCAUAACUUCAAAUAUGUAGGUUUGACUGUGGAAAUAAUCCCGAUGAGAUUAUCAUACAUUGAAGGAUAGAGCAAGAGAAUAGGUUGACAUUUUACCUCCUUAACGCAUCACUAGUUGGAUGAACUUUGUUUAAAAAUUACUUGUUUUUUCACUAUCUAGAGUUGCUAAACUCAAGCAUGAUAUUACUACCUUUCAACAUUGACUCGUAAAGCUUUCAUGAGGCUUGGAAGAGAUUCAAAGAGAUGCUUAGAAAAUACACGAAUUAAGGAAUCACAAUGGAUCAAUUAUUUCUAUUCUGAUUUGACUCCUUCAUGCUUUCUAAUGUUGAUUCAUCCUCUAACGGGCCAAUCAAACGGAAAACCAUUCGGAAGCAUAUGACUUGUUCGAGAUCAUUGGUAAGCACAAUGUGAUGUAGCUAGAUAGGUGUUCACAAAAGGGAGCUAAUGGAAUACUUGAUGUUGAUUUUUAUUCACUUGUCUUAACCUGUUGAUUCUACAGAAAAGAAGGCCAAAGGGCUUUACACUUUUAUUUCUCAUCCCGUCAAUAUGGUACUAGCUUAUCCAGGGUGUGAUAUGUGUGGAGAAAAUUACCAAGUUCGAACUGUCCAUUGACGACUAAUGGUUUUGCCUCUAUCAAACAAGUGGCUUAUGCUCAAAAUUUUCAACGUCAAGGGCGCAAUCCUUAUUCUCAAACUUAUAGUCCUAGUGGGUGGAACCAUCCUAAAAUCUUCUAUAAUAAUAAUAAUAAAAAAUCGCUAAACUCAAGACCACAAGAGAAGAAAGAAAAUUGGGAAGAUUCUGUAACUAAUUGGCAAAUCAUCAAUUACAAUAUCAAGAGCACAAUGAUGUGUCUUCAAAGAACUUGGAGAACUAAGUGAGUCAAAUAGCUAAACUUCUCUAGGAAAGAAAAGAAGGAGCUUUGCCUAGCAACAUCGAAACUAAUUCAAGAGAUAAUGUGCAAGCCAUCUCAAUAAGGAGCGAAGUGAAAUUGCUUGAGAUUAUGGUAUAAAUGUUCAAUAGCUUAGCCCUUGUUU
rnacentral:lncRNA from 1 species